rnacentral:rRNA from 1 species
GACGAACGCUGGCGGCGUGCUUAACACAUGCAAGUCGAACGGAAAGGCCCUGCUUUUGUGGGGUGCUCGAGUGGCGAACGGGUGAGUAACACGUGAGUAACCUGCCCUUGACUUUGGGAUAACUUCAGGAAACUGGGGCUAAUACCGGAUAGGAGCUCCUGCUGCAUGGUGGGGGGUGGAAAGUUUCGGCGGUUGGGGAUGGACUCGCGGCUUAUCAGCUUGUUGGUGGGGUAGUGGCUUACCAAGGCUUUGACGGGUAGCCGGCCUGAGAGGGUGACCGGCCACAUUGGGACUGAGAUACGGCCCAGACUCCUACGGGAGGCAGCAGUGGGGAAUAUUGCACAAUGGGCGGAAGCCUGAUGCAGCAACGCCGCGUGCGGGAUGACGGCCUUCGGGUUGUAAACCGCUUUCGCCUGUGACGAAGCGUGAGUGACGGUAAUGGGUAAAGAAGCACCGGCUAACCACGUG